GACGAACGCUGGCGGCGUGCCUAAUACAUGCAAGUAGAACGCUGAAGGAGGAGCUUGCUUCUCUGGAUGAGUUGCGAACGGGUGAGUAACGCGUAGGUAACCUGCCUGGUAGCGGGGGAUAACUAUUGGAAACGAUAGCUAACACCGCAUAAUAGUAGAUGUUGCAUGACAUUUGCUUAAAAGGUGCAAUUGCAUCACUACCAGAUGGACCUGCGUUGUAUUAGCUAGUUGGUGAGGUAACGGCUCACCAAGGCGACGAUACAUAGCCGACCUGAGAGGGUGAUCGGCCACACUGGGACUGAGACACGGCCCAGACUCCUACGGGAGGCAGCAGUAGGGAAUCUUCGGCAAUGGGGGGAACCCUGACCGAGCAACGCCGCGUGAGUGAAGAAGGUUUUCGGAUCGUAAAGCUCUGUUGUAAGAGAAGAACGAGUGUGAGAGUGGAAAGUUCACACUU
rnacentral:rRNA from 1 species